rnacentral:rRNA from 1 species
ACGUAGGGGGCGAGCGUUAUCCGGAUUCAUUGGGCGUAAAGCGCGCGUAGGCGGCCCGUCAAGCGGAACCUCUAACCCGAGGGCUCAACCCCCGGUCGGGUUCCGAACUGGCAGGCUCGAGUUUGGUAGAGGAAGAUGGAAUUCCCGGUGUAGCGGUGGAAUGCGCAGAUAUCGGGAAGAACACCGAUGGCGAAGGCAGUCUUCUGGGCCAUCAACUGACGCUGAGGCGCGAAAGCUGGGGGAGCGAACAG